GCCCAUGUAGCUCAGUUGGCAGAGCACAUCCUUGGUAAGGAUGAGGUCACCAGUUCAAUCCUGGUCAUGGGCUCCA
rnacentral:tRNA from 1 species